rnacentral:rRNA from 1 species
AUGGGCAGCCUGUUCCCCUUCCACUUCCACUCCUUUUCCCAACAAAUUAAGCCUCCGCUGCUUCAUCUUUUUGGUUCGCCUAUCAAAUCUGGCACCGGUGCGAGUCGCCGCCUCCCACGCCCACCAUUCCGCACCAAAUCGAUCACCGCCCAUCGACGAGCCGAGUGGCACAAGCAGAUGAGGAGACGGACUUGA